rnacentral:misc_RNA from 1 species
ACACCUCAACUCUCGUGGCCCGCCACGAUGAGCUUGGACUUUGGGGGUCUUGCCGGCCUAGCGUCGGCUCCUCUCAAAUGGAUCAGCUUGCCAGUGUUUGGUGGCGUCACAGGUGUGAUAACUAUCUACGCUUGUGGUUUUCUACCAUGUAACCUUCAGUGAUGGAGGUUCGCUGGGGCUCACAGAUGUCUCUCCUUGGGGAGGACAGCUUUUUGAAC